GUCCAUGUUGCACAAUGGAUAGCGCGUUGGACUUCUAAUUCAAAGGUCGUGGAUUCAAAUUCCACCUGGGAUG
rnacentral:tRNA from 1 species